rnacentral:rRNA from 1 species
GUCCACGCCGUAAACGAUGGGUACUAGGUGUUGCGGGUAUUGACCCCUGCAGUGCCGACGCUAACGCAAUAAGUACCCCGCCUGGGAAGUACGGCCGCAAGGCUAAAACUCAAAGGAAUUGACGGGGCCCGCACAAGCGGUGGAGUAUGUGGUUUAAUUCGACGCAACGCGAAGACCUUACCCAGGCUUGACAUUGAUGGAAUCCCUUAGAAAUAGGGGAGUACUCUUCGGAGACCUGAAAACAGGUGCUGCAUGGCUGUCGU